GUUUUACCCCUGCUGGCAGGACGGUGGACACCUUUUGUGGCCAUGUAACUGCUCUUUUAGAGCGGUCACAUGGCCCCUGGGGCUCCUAAAUUGGAGAGGGGGGACAGUUCCACUCAGAGGAAGAUCGAUUCCCUUGCGGGAUGGCAGCGAUAGGUAAGUACAUGGGGAGGCUUCCGAUGCUCUGCUCCACACUGUCGGGCGCCACGUGCGGCAACCCGGAAGUGAUCACUCCGGGGGGAGUGAUCACUUGGGUGCCUGGCAGUGUUGGGGGAGGUAUUUCACAAUGCCUCGAUAACGAGGCCUCGUGCAAUACUCUUAGAGUGGCUGGGAGCGAUUCCAGCGCUCAAAUUUACCGUGGACGUAUGAGGUACGUCUGUGGUCCUUAAGGACCGAUUUUCAUCGUACUCAUAUGUCCGCAGUUGGGAAAGGGUUAAAUGUGAAACACACUUUGAAUCCUCACUUAUAGUAAGUAACCCUGCUAGAGUGUAUAUAAGAGAGGCACUGGUUGAGUGAAUGGGAAGGAGAUAGUGUGAGAGAUACACAGACAUCGCAACAUGCAAAAACUUAUUUCAAGGUGGUGGCUGCACACGCCAAC